GACGAACGCUGGCGGCGUGCUUAACACAUGCAAGUCGAGCGGUAAGGCCCUUUCGGGGGUACACGAGCGGCGAACGGGUGAGUAACACGUGGGUGACCUGCCCUUAGCUCUGGGAUAAGCCUGGGAAACUGGGUCUAAUACCGGAUAUGACUCCAUGACGCAUGUUGUGGGGUGGAAAGCCUUGUGCGGCUAGGGAUGGGCCUGCGGCCUAUCAGCUUGUUGGUGGGGUGANGGCCUACCAAGGCGACGACGGGUAGCCGGCCUGAGAGGGCGACCGGCCACACUGGGACUGAGACACGGCCCAGACUCCUACGGGAGGCAGCAGUGGCGAAUCUUGCGCAAUGGGCGAAAGCCUGACGCAGCGACGCCGCGUGGGGAUGACGGCCU
rnacentral:rRNA from 1 species